UGGCUUCUGAUUUAUCCAUCCUCUCGAGAAUUUGACUGCAUGUGGCACCAAAAGAAUGUACCUGGUUUGAUAGUUCUUCCAAAGCUUCUUGGAUGGGUAAUUACGGGGUAUUUUCUCCUAGAAGUCCCCCCUCCAGGACAUAAACAAAAAUAGAUUUUGACUGCUAACUUGUUAUGGGACAGGACUCGCACUAAAAGAAAAGGAACAAAUCUACCAUUUGAAGCUUUUCACAUAGGAGCAGUUGAAAUCACAGUGAACAGUGAGGUGUAUGCAGAGAGAUUAGCAAGACUCAGAGAGGCAAAGGUGACUAUCUCUCCAUCAACACUGAAUCCUUUUCUCCAUUUUGUCCACCUGUAGCUUGUCCCACUGGGUGGGGCAGAGUCCAUUAGACAUGCGCAACCCUCCAUAGUGGCUUAGAGUUUUCUCAUACUUCUCCACAUGUUGGCUGGUUACCAUGGUUCACUCUUUGCUAUGAUCCGAUGCAUGUUUUCUAUACAUGAAAAUGCAGGUAGAGAACAUUGACUAUCACUGGGAUUGUUGCUCUUGUUCCCAUGUGUGAAACUUCCCUUUUGGAUUUUCCCAUGUGUUUGACCAACUCAGUACCCUCCCUUCAAGAUGGACAAAUUGCUGACCACUGUUCAUUCCCAGACCAACUCUUCCACCAAGCAAGGAACUAAUCUAGGGCAACAAAAGCCUCAUCAUGUGCCUUUUUCACAGUGCUUCAGAGAUUGAUAAUGUCAUCACAUAUUUUUGAUCUCAGAUUUCUGACAAUUGAUUUACAAUUCAGAGUUAUGAGCAUGACAACUAUACAAAUAACUUUGCUUUGACAGUGCAUUCACAACAAUAUCUUGCUGAUGAAAUUGAAUCCUACAAAGUUCAUGCAAUAUGCUAAUACAUGGAACCAUUACUAUAUUGUGUUCAGAUUUUGACCACAGUUUUUAAACCUCGUUUUUGUGACUGCUCUAAAAGUGAAUCAGAAUAUUCUUUUGAAUUAAACAGUUGUUGAAAUAUUAUAUAUAAUCCAGAAGGCAUAUCCUCAACAGAAUAUGAAAAUGCAUGUGUACGCAACAAAAUAUGCAAACAGACAUUUGACAACAUACUAAGAAGGUUUGUUUAUGCAUACCUUUAAAUAAAAUGUUUUAACUCAGUUUCCCUUUAUAAAGUGUUCUAAAUGUCCUACUUAAUUAAUAUAGAGGAGCAGAAUAUAAAAUUCUGGCAAAAAAGGAAAGCUAGAGGGAUUGGCACAAAGAAAUAUUUUCAAAAAUGAAUGUAACAUGAGAUGCCUUUAUGUAUAGAUAAGACUGAAACUCUGUUUAUGGUGGGCAUAGUAAAACAAAUACUCUAAUAAAUCACGUUCCUGUCCUAUUUUCAGAUAUGUUGCAUAUAAACAUUCCAAACAAGUUGAACAAAUACACUAAUGGAAAGCAUAUUUAUUGGUAUUCUGUUUACUGGUAUAUUGUGCAUGAGCCAUCUAGAUGUGAACAAUUUAAAUGCAAGCAUCAGUAGGUAACUUUUCAAAAUAAAGAAAGAAAACUCCAAAGACC